rnacentral:rRNA from 1 species
ACCCCGGGAUGUUCAUAACCCUUUGUUGUCCGACUCUGUUGCCUCCGGGGCGACCCUGCCUUCGGGCGGGGGCUCCGGGUGGACACUUCAAACUCUUGCGUAACUUUGCAGUCUGAGUAAACUUAAUUAAUAAAUUAAAACUUUUAACAACGGAUCUCUUGGUUCUGGCAUCGAUGAAGAACGCAGCGAAAUGCGAUAAGUAAUGUGAAUUGCAGAAUUCAGUGAAUCAUCAAAUCUUUGAACGCACAUUGCGCCCCCUGGUAUUCCGGGGGGCAUGCCUGUUCGAGCGUCAUUUCACCACUCAAGCCUCGCUUGGUAUUGGGCAACGCGGUCCGCCGCGUGCCUCAAAUCGACCGGCUGGGUCUUCUGUCCCCUAAGCGUUGUGGAAACUAUUCGCUAAAGGGUGUUCGGGAGGCUACGCCGUAAAACAACCCCAUUUCUAAGGUUGACCUCGGAUCAGGUAGGGAUACCCGCUGAACUUAAGCAUAUCAAUAAACGGAGGAA